rnacentral:lncRNA from 1 species
UCCCUUGGCAGGAACAUAUUUUAAAAAACCCAACAGUUUGCAGAAAUUUCAAAUGGUUUAUAGGAAUUUACCGAUAUUGGUCUGAUACAGACUCAAAUGGCUGGAUAGUCUCGGUGUACCUAUCUGGACAGCUUUAAAUAAAUUUUACUUUUGUUUAUAAUAACAUUAAAAUGAGAGUUUUUUUGUAUUUCUAUUUUUACUUUGAGACGGGACCUUGUUAAAUAUUCUAUGCGGCCUUAUUGGCAGUUUCUAUUAUAAAUAUGUUUAGAGACUUUGUGGUUAAAUACAAAAUGUCAGAGUCUUCGAGUGUCUGAUCUAAAUUAUUUUAUUGUACCGUUGAUCGGAUCAGGAGCUUUCCAUCAAUGUUUAUACUGUUAAUUGUUUAGUUCGCUAAUGUUUUUUUGUUUGUCCUCUUCCAGCUCUACCACUAAACUUGUAACGCAGUGGACAUGAUGUCAGGACCUGCUGCUGGUCCUUUCAACAGGAACCCACCUGGACUUUCAGAUGGAGCAGAGUCUACAAGAGAGAGACUGUGUACAUUAACAUGAAGAAGACAUGGGAGCGCACCUAUCGAGAAUUGAGACGAUGUUGGUUUCACCUCCUCCAGAAUACAGCUCUACCACUAAACUUGUAACGCAGUGGACAUGAUGUCAGGACGUGCUGCAGUAAGAGGACCUGCUGCUGGUCCUUUCAACAGGAACCCACCUGGACUUCCAGAUGGAGCAGAGUCUACAAGAGAGAGACUGUGUGUACAUUAAAGUGAGGAAGACAUGGCAGCGCACCUGUUGCCAUCGACAAUCAAGGCGAUGUCCCGUCACCACCUCUAGGACAACAGAGAA